UCUCUCUGAAUCUGCGUACGGCUCCGCAAACCAGUUGUAAACUAUAGCAAGCAUGCCUGGGUUCCCUUCACGGGGAGCUUGGGCGAUACGGAUAACCCUGGUAAUUCUGAGGCCAAUACGAGAACGCAAUCCUUGACUGACCGGGCAACUGGGAGGCUGAGAGGCGUGCAAGUUGUGUCGCGAGAAAUCGCCGGGAUUGGAUGCACGCCUGGACCGCGCCAAAGACAGAUGAGUGUUCCUGACCCUCACGGGAAGGGGACGCUUGCCUGAGCGGCUCUUGCAAUGUGCUUCUGACCUAUCAACUAGACGGCAGCGUAAAGGACAUGCUAUGGUUACAACGGGUACAGAGGAUUAGGGUUCGAUCCUGGAGAGUGGGCCUGAGAGAUUGAGC
rnacentral:rRNA from 1 species